AGUAUCCCGUGUUAGCUCAUUAAAGACUUCAAGACUUUCUCUUGAAAGAAGUCAUAUCGUUGGAUAGAUAAAGAAAUGUUUUGAGAGAACUAAUUAUAUAUGCAAGAUAAAAGCUUUCGAUAUAUUUACAGAGCUUAAUAUUUCACUGACGGCUACUUCAUCAAACCACGAAAUAUGGAAACAUAAAUAAUAAUAAAUAGAGCAGGUUUCGAACUCAGAAUGCAAAAGAAAAUUAAAAGGCGUUAACAAAGUAUCGGGGCUUCGGUAACACAGAUAUGAAAAACAUACAGUAAACAGUUCAAAGGAAAUGUGAAAUGCGUGACAUUUAUUCCAUCACGAAACGAUAUUGCUAGCUUCAAUUAAAAGUUGAAGAUAGAAGAGAGAAAUUACAGGUUCCUAUCGGACUCUACAAUUCAGCUCAAUCUAUCAUAGACGAGUGUCCACCAAUUGUUCCAGUUCACACUGACCAUUAGAUACCAACGGUGGUCUCACUUCGCUACCCACCAGCCUGCUCAAUCCGCCACAGAUAUGGCUUCUGCACGUACAACUAACCAAACCACACCUGGAAGGCCACCACUUGUCCGAUUCUACAACCUACGUCAGCCUAGCGUAUAUGCCAGUUCCUCGCGUAUACCUCGCAGACGUCGCAACACUAUUGGCACAGACACGGUGAACAAUCGGCUGCUCCUAAACAACAGAAAUGAGAGCCCACCAAUCAUCACAUGUAGACACAAUCGUGAGUCCCCAAAUCGGAAUAGGGAAAAUGCUAACCAACGACGAGUCCUAUUCUCCCCGAUACAGGGAGCUGCUCAAAGCAGCAAUGACAUCAUCGUUGACAACGACUCUCAAGAAAUAAACGUCACCAACAUUGGUCCAUUUAUUAAACUUUCCUUACCAGCUGAAGUCAUAAGAGGCGACCGUAAUCCACGUAAAGCUCAUAUAAGGAUAACAUAUGAAUAAUACAAAUGAGCUGCUUUGUCGUACUGAGUAAUGCUCAAGAUUACGGUGCGUUUAAAGACAAUGAACAAUACAUUAUAACCGAAUCAGUAAAUAUAAUUAAUUAUGAUAAUAGAAGCAAUCCUUUGAAAAUAGUGGACUAAAAUGAAAUAUGCAGGCGCUGAAUCCUAGAGUAUUCUUAAAUAUUGAACCUGGGGAAUUACAAAACAGUCUUUAAUUAAACCUGGAAAUGUACAGGACAAAAAAAAGAUAAAAUAAAAAAUGCUGCUG
rnacentral:lncRNA from 1 species